AGCAGCCGCCACGGUAAAACGAAGGGUGCAAGCGUUACUCGGAAUUACUGGCGUAAAGCGUGCGUAGGUGGUGGUUUAAGUCCGUUGUGAAAGCCCUGGGCUCAACCUGGGAAUUGCAGUGGAUACUGGGUCACUAGAGUGUGGUAGAGGAUAGUGGAAUUUCCGGUGUAGCAGUGAAAUGCGUAGAGAUCGGAAGGAACAUCUGUGGCGAAGGCGACUAUCUGGGCCAACACUGACACUGAGGCACGAAAGCGUGGGGAGCAAACAGGAUUAGAUACCCCAGUAGUCCCUGUCUCUUAUACA
rnacentral:rRNA from 1 species